GGCAACGGAAGAGGUGGCCGAGCUGGUCUUACCGUUUCAGUUUGCAAGGCAUGGAGGAGGACGGGAUGUGAGCCAAGGAGGAUGUACGUUGCCUGCUCAGGGGACGCUCAGCGGCUGGUGGCGCUGCUCACUCCUCCUCACAUCCUUGUCUGACCCGGUGCCUUUCCUGCAUCUCCUUGCUUACUCGCCAGACAUCCCAUGGUAACUCCUGGUAUUUGUUGGUUGCAAUUCCUCUGACAGUUACAACACAUGGCAAUGAUACCUCUGCACAUUGUCGAAUAAAAAAUAUAAAGAUGAUAUUCAUUGACGCCAGGCUUCAAAAUUCAGCUCUUUUAUUUCUGCCAUGGUGUGCCUUUCUGCUUGGUUCAGUUUUGCCUGAUCUACUUCCAGAUGUAUACUACACUUAGUUUGUUCAUGCAUUAGAAGCAGGCUUUCAGCAAUGGAAUAGCGGGUGG